AGGACUCUUAGCAAGUGAAUUCCAUUUGAAUUCUUCAACGGCACUGGAGAUCUCUUCCUCAAUUCAUCAUCCGAAGCCAGAAAAGGAUGCAAUUGGAGAACUGAGCAAAUUGCUAGAGCCUCCCCAGUUUUAACACGCAACUUUUCAAUAUCAAGAUUCUCUAAUUUGCUAACAAUGGGAUUGAACUGAAAUGGAAUAUCCAACCUUUCUGCUUCUUCGAUCAGUUUAUGAGCCAUUUGAUCCAGUACCUCUUUCUGUUGAUGAAUCCCUGUAAUUCUCAAAUGGGGAGGUCCCUCAGGCCUUGCACUUA
rnacentral:misc_RNA from 1 species